rnacentral:rRNA from 1 species
AUUGAACGCUGGCGGCAUGCCUUACACAUGCAAGUCGAACGGUAACGGGCCUUCGGGUGCCGACGAGUGGCGAACGGGUGAGUAAUGCAUCGGAACGUACCUUUCAGUGGGGGAUAACGUAGCGAAAGUUACGCUAAUACCGCAUAUUCUGUGAGCAGGAAAGCAGGGGAUCGCAAGACCUUGCGCUGAUUUAGCGGCCGAUGUCAGAUUAGCUAGUUGGUGAGGUAAAGGCUUACCAAGGCGACGAUCUGUAGCGGGUCUGAGAGGAUGAUCCGCCACACUGGAACUGAGACACGGUCCAGACUCCUACGGGAGGCAGCAGUGAGGAAUAUUGCGCAAUGGGGGCAACCCUGACGCAGCAACGCCGCGUGAGUGAGGAAGGUUUUCGGACCGUAAAGCUCUGUCGAGCGGGAAGAAGUGUAUCAUGGCUAAUAUCCAUGAUAUUUGACGGUACCGCUAGAGGAAGCACCGGCUAACUCCAUGCCAGCAGCCGCCGUAAAAC